UGGUGGAGUGAUUUGUCUGGUUAAUUCCGUUAACGAACGAGACCUUAACCUAUUAAAUAGUUGAUUGAACUUGAUUUCUAAAUCAAAUGUUCAAGUAACUUCUUAGAGGGACUCUUCACUGAGAGAGUGAAUGGAAGUUUGAGGCAAAAACA
rnacentral:rRNA from 1 species